UACGUAGGGUGCAAGCGUUAAUCGGAAUUACUGGGCGCAAAGCGUGCGCAGGCGGUGAUGUAAGACAGAUGUGAAAUCCCCGGGCUCAACCUGGGAACUGCAUUUGUGACUGCAUCGCUGGAGUGCGGCAGAGGGGGAUGGAAUUCCGCGUGUAGCAGUGAAAUGCGUAGAUAUGCGGAGGAACACCGAUGGCGAAGGCAAUCCCCUGGGCCUGCACUGACGCUCAUGCACGAAAGCGUGGGGAGCAAACAGG
rnacentral:rRNA from 1 species